AGCUGCAAUAGCGAAAAUUAAAGUUGUUGCGGUCAAAAAGCUCGUAGUUGGAUUUCUGCCGAGGACGUCAGGCCCGCCCUUUGGGUGAGUACAUGGCACAGUCUGGGCAUCUUCUUGGGGAAUGUGUCUGCACUUGACUGUGUGAUGCGGUAUCCAGGACUUUUAGUUUGAGGAAAUUAGAGUGUUUCAAGCAGGCUCACGCCUUGAAUACAUUAGCAUGGAAUAAUAAUUUAGGACCUCGGUUCUAUUUUGUUGGCUUCUAGAGCUGAGGUAAUGAUUAAUAGGGAUAGUUUGGGGCAUUCGUAUUUAAUUAACUGUCAGAGGUGAAAUUCUUGGAUUUGUUAAAGAUGGACUUCUGCGGAAGCAUUUGCCAAGGAUGCUUUCAUUA
rnacentral:rRNA from 1 species